ncrna:Petromyzon marinus (sea lamprey) microRNA pma-mir-375b precursor
CGCAACGCCGAGCCCGACGCACAAUGCCUGCUCUGUCACGGCGCGUUUUGUUCGUUCGGCUCGCGUUGCGC